GCAGGUUCUCUCUGUGUGUGUGCUGCAUGGUGUGCGCAGGUUCUCUCUGUGUGUGCUGCAUGGUGUGUGCAGGUUCGCAUCCUGUAUGCUGCGCGCAGGUUGUCUGUGCGCAGGUUCUCUGUGUGUGUGUGUGCUGCAUGUUCGCUUUCUGUGUGCGCGCAGGUUCUCUCUCUCUGUGUGCUGCAUGGUGUGUGCAGGUUCGCUUUCUGAAUGCUGCGUGCAGGUUGUGUGUGUGUGC